GGCAUCUGACCAAAUAGAAUUUAAACAGUGACUUUUCUUAAUGGUGACUUCAUGUCCCUUUCAAGAAGCAUCAAUAUCCUCUUAAUCUCAGAGUUACUUCUGCCCACCUCUCCCCAUGUUCAGGUUUGAUGUUUGCUGGAGAUCUCCCAAGAAGCACUGUGCUCCUUCCUUGUUAACUCUGACCUUCUGUAUAUCCUGAGACUCGAAGAGCCCCAAUGUUCAGGGUGAAAGUGCAACAACAAGUAGUACAGAGUCCUGGAGCCUUGACUCUCCAGGAGGGAGAUGAUAGCAGCAUGCGGUGCAACUUCUCCACCUCUUCAUCCACUGUGCAGCGGUUUCACCAGAAUCCUGAGGGCCGCCUCAUCACCCUGUUUUCCAGUCCCUCGGGAACAAAGCAGAGUGGAAGACUAAAGUCCACGACAGACGCUAAGGAACGCCACAGCUCCCUGCACAUCUCCUCCUCCCAGACCACAGACUCCGGCACUUUUGUGUGGUGGACACACAGUGCUCCCCAGGCACCUGCAGUCUGAACACAAACUUCAGCUGUGUG